AGUGAACGCUGGCGGUAGGCCUAACACAUGCAAGUCGAACGGCAGCACAGUAAGAGCUUGCUCUUACGGGUGGCGAGUGGCGGACGGGUGAGGAAUACAUCGGAAUCUACUUUUUCGUGGGGGAUAACGUAGGGAAACUUACGCUAAUACCGCAUACGACCUACGGGUGAAAGCAGGGGAUCUUGGGACCUUGCGCGAUUGAAUUAGCCGAUGUCGGAUUAGCUAGUUGGCGGGGUAAAGGCCCACCAAGGCGACGAUCCGUAGCUGGUCUGAGAGGAUGAUCAGCCACACUGGAACUGAGACACGGUCCAGACUCCUACGGGAGGCAGCAGUGGGGAAUAUUGGACAAUGGGCGCAAGCCUGAUCCAGCCAUACCGCGUGGGUGAAGAAGGCCUUCGGGUUGUAAAGCCCUUUUGUUGGGAAAGAAAAGCAGCAGGUUAAUACCCCGCUGUUCUGACGGUACCCAAAGAAUAAGCACCGGCUAACUUCGUG
rnacentral:rRNA from 1 species